AAGGGGAACCCGGGAAAAAGGAAAGAAGCUUGUGGGAAUCCUGUGGGGUUAAACUGGAAUCUCGAGGCCGCGGAGUAAGAGCAUAGGGAAAGGCGGUGGUCAUUUUCCUCACAGCCUGAUCCAGUGUUGAUCGUGGCCACAUCAAGGCCGUAAAGCAUCUUCACAGCCUGUUUGAUCUGGCAUUCAUUGAUCUGACAUCUACAGUGAACACAACAACUAUCUGAAGGAUCUGGACAACCAAGGAGACAUGUACCUGAGCCUCGUGUCUUCACUUCAUCACCAGUAAAAUGGAAAAUAACAUCAUCCACCUCACAGGAUUAUUGUGUGGUUUAAAUAAGACAACAGAGGACAAGAAGAAAAGAUUUGUUGAGAUGGAGACCGCAGACGCAGAUAGCAGCAUUCCCCUGCCGCAGCCUGGAAGAGCUGGAGGAAGGCUCUAAAGGUUACAUGAAUGAGAAUCGUUAAUAUUCAUGGCAGCAUCUGGUGCUGUGUUGCCAGGAGACAGUAAUGAGAACAGAGCAUCUUCCAGGUCUAAUGGCACUGCGGCUGCCACAUCAAUCCUGACGUCCCCAGAAAUGAGAUCUUUAUCAUUUGCAAACAGGGAAGCGUUGGUGGCUUGGCUGUCAUUCCGGAAGGUCACUAAAAGAUAUCCAGAUGAACUGCCCGUAUUUCUUGGGCUGACACCCACCCAGUUCCCUGCAUAGUUUCUCCUUUUUAGAAACACUGUGUGACACGGCAACUCUACAGACACAGAGGGAACUGGGAAUCUGCCUUCAUCCUCAGCAUGCUUUGUGAAAUUCUGGCUUCCUGGUUUUCCCUUCAAAUAUCU